rnacentral:siRNA from 1 species
UAUUCCAGGAUAUGCAAAAGA